GACGAACGCUGGCGGCGUGCUUAACACAUGCAAGUCGAACGGAAAGGCCCUGCUUUGGGGGGGUGCUGGAGUGGCGAACGGGGGAGUAACACGUGAGUAACCUGCCAUUGACUGUGGGAUAACUUAAGGAAACUGGGGCUAAUACGGGAUAGGAGCUACUGCUGCAGGGUGGGGGUGGGAAAGUUUCGGCGGUUGGGGAUGGACUCGCGGAUUAUCAGCUUGUUGGUGGGGUAGUGGCUUACCAAGGCUUUGACGGGUAGCCGGCCUGAGAGGGUGACCUGCCACAUUGGGACUGAGCUACGGCCCAGACUCCUACGCGAGGCAGCAGUGCGGAAUAUUGCACUAUGGGCGGAAGCCUGAUCCAGCAACGCCGUGUGCGGGAUGACGGCCUUCCGGUUGUAAUCCGCUUUCGUCUGUCCCGAAGCGUUAGUGACGGUAAUGGGUAAAGAAGCACCGGCUAACUACGUG
rnacentral:rRNA from 1 species